AGCGAACGCUGGCGGCAUGCCUAACACAUGCAAGUCGAACGAGACCUUCGGGUCUAGCGGCGCACGGGUGCGUAACGCGUGGGAACCUGCCCUUAGGUUCGGAAUAACUCCCCGAAAGGGGUGCUAAUACCGGAUAAUGUCUUCGGACCAAAGAUUUAUCGCCUUUGGAUGGGCCCGCGUUGGAUUAGCUAGUUGGUAGGGUAAAAGCCUACCAAGGCGACGAUCCAUAGCUGGUCUGAGAGGAUGAUCAGCCACACUGGGACUGGGACACGGCCCAGACUCCUACGGGAGGCAGCAGUGGGGAAUAUUGGACAGUGGGCGAAAGCCUGAUCCAGCAAUGCCGCGUGAGUGAUGAAGGCCUUAGGGUUGUAAAGCUCUUUUACCCGGGAUGAUAAUGACAGUACCGGGAGAAUAAGCUCCGGCUAACUCCGUG
rnacentral:rRNA from 1 species